AAUCUUUUAGUUUAUUAAAAACAAUGGCUUGUGGCGCCAUAGAUCUAUAUAUUUUUUAUCAAGGAAU
rnacentral:tRNA from 1 species